UACAGAGGGCCCGAGCGUUGUUCGGAUUCACUGGGCGUAAAGGGUGCGUAGGUGGUGAGAUAAGUCGGAUGGGAAAGCUCGGAGCUCAACUCCGAAAUGGCAUUGGAAACUAUCUCGCUCGAGGGUUGGAGGGGGGACUGGAAUGCUUGGUGUAGCAGUGAAAUGCGUAGAUAUCAAGCGGAACACCAGUGGCGAAGGCGAGUCCUUGGACAACUCCUGACACUGAGGCACGAAAGCUAGGGGAGCAAACUGG
rnacentral:rRNA from 1 species